rnacentral:rRNA from 1 species
CCUACGGGAGGCAGCAGUGAGGAAUAUUGGUCAAUGGGCGUAAGCCUGAACCAGCCAAGUCGCGUGAGGGAUGAAGGUUCUAUGGAUCGUAAACCUCUUUUAUAAGGGAAUAAAGUGUGGGACGUGUCCUGUUUUGUAUGUACCUUAUGAAUAAGGAUCGGCUAACUCCGUGCCAGCAGCCGCGGUAAUACGGAGGAUCCGAGCGUUAUCCGGAUUUAUUGGGUUUAAAGGGUGGGUAGGCGGCCUUGUAAGUCAGCGGUGAAAGUCUGUGGCUCAACCAUAGAAUUGCCGUUGAAACUGGGAGGCUUGAGUAUGUGUGAGGCAGGCGGAAUGCGUGGUGUAGCGGUGAAAUGCGUAGAUAUAACGAAGAACCCCGGUGGCGAAGGCAGCCUGCCAAGCCGUGACUGACGCUGAGGCACGAAAGCGUGGGGAUCAAACAGGAUUAGAUACCCUUGUAGUC